UACGGAAGGCAGCAGUGGGGAAUAUUGCACAAUGGGCGCAAGCCUGAUGCAGCCAUGCCGCGUGUAUGAAAAAGGCCUUCGGGUUGUAAAGUACUUUCAGUCGUGAGGAAGGUGUUAAGGUUAAUAACCUUAGCAAUUGACGUUAGCGACAGAAGAAGCACCGGCUAACUCCGUGCCAGCAGCCGCGGUAAUACGGAGGGUGCGAGCGUUAAUCGGAAUUACUGGGCGUAAAGGGCACGCAGGCGGUUAAUUAAGUUGGAUGUGAAAUCCCCGGGCUUAACCUGGGAAUGGCAUUCAAGACUGGUUAGCUAGAGUCUUGUAGAGGGGGUAGAAUUCCCAUGUGUAGCGGUGAAAUGCGUAGAGAUGUGGAGGAAUACCGGUGGCGAAGGCGGCCCCUGGACAAAGACUGACGCUCAUGUGCGAAAGCGUGGGGAGCAAACAGGGAUUAGAUACC
rnacentral:rRNA from 1 species